CAAAAUUUAUCUAAGAAAAUGAGCAAUUCAUGCAUACAAUGCUUUGUUCUCAUCAUUCUUCCAUUUUCUUAAGUAGUAUCAAGUUCUACCCAUAGAGGCAUAGCGAGUGGUCAAGGUGGGCCAAAACAGCUUUGGAAAGCUGUGGGUUAUGGAGCAGUCAUGGAAAGGAGAAGCCUUUACAAGAAAUGACUGCAAAUGAAGGUCAGGCGUGGAGCCUGAGGUCUAAAGAAAGAGCUGUUCAAGGAAACUUUUCUCCACUCACUUAUUGUUUCUGUGAUUCUCUUUUUUUUUAAGGGGGUUCUAUUUAUACUCUAGAGCUUCUCUUUUCUAACUUUCUUUGUCCCUAGGGGUUUCUUCACUUUAAGCACUCUUUUUGGUUCAUUUUUUUCUCACUCAAUCUCUCUCGUUCCCAAGAUCAAAAGAAUUUUAAAUUCACAAACCCAACAACCAUCCUAGAGGCUAGCUCAAAUGAGGUCCUAAUGCUAGCCACAGAUGAGAACAACCCAUUGUCGCUCCUAAUACUCUCAAGAUUUUGCACGUGACAUGCUAUCAAUAAAAGGCCUCACUCAUACAAAUUAAUGUUGGCUUCAAAGAAUAGUGAGGGUUAAAGGGUAUGAGAGUGCCAUUUGAGUUAACAAAGAUUGGUACAAAGAGAGAAAGAUAACCCAAAUGUGUAUAAUAUCCAUGAUCAAGUGUGCAAAUGCCCAUAUGCAAGAGAGAUUAAGUUCAUUAAGCCUUAGUUCAUUUGGAGUUGGUUUCAAGAACAAUGUCAAUCAUCAAGCAAGUAACAAGUUUCAAGAAGAGUUUUCAAGGCUCGAAGCUUACAAGCUUUUU
rnacentral:lncRNA from 1 species